rnacentral:rRNA from 1 species
GAUGAACGCUGGCGGCGUGCCUAAUACAUGCAAGUCGAGCGAACAGACGAGGAGCUUGCUCCUCUGACGUUAGCGGCGGACGGGUGAGUAACACGUGGAUAACCUACCUAUAAGACUGGGAGAACUUCGGGAAACCGGAGCUAAUACCGGAUAAGAUAUUGAACCGCAGGGUUCAAUAGUGAAAGACGGUUUUGCUGUCACUUAUAGAUGGAUCCGCGCCGCAUUAGCUAGUUGGUAAGGUAAAGGCCUACCAAGGCAACGAUGCGUAGCCGACCUGAGAGGGUGAUCGCCCACCUUGGAACUGGGCCCCGGUCCAGGCUCCUACGGGAGGCAGCAGUCGGGAAUCUUCCGCAAUGGGCGAAAGCCUGACGGAGCAACGCCGCGUGAGUGAUGAAGGUCUUCGGUUCGUAAAACUCUGUUAUUAGGGAAGAACAAAUGUGUCAGUAACUAUGCACGUCUUGACGGUACCUAAUCAGAAAGCCCCGGCUAACUACGUG